rnacentral:rRNA from 1 species
AUUGAACGCUGGCGGCAGGCCUAACACAUGCAAGUCGAGCGGAUGAAGGGAGCUUGCUCCUGGAUUCAGCGGCGGACGGGUGAGUAAUGCCUAGGAAUCUGCCUGGUUGUGGGGGAUAACGUCCGGAAACGGGCGCUAAUACCGCAUACGUCCUGAGGGAGAAUGUGGGGGAUCUUCGGACCUCACGCUAUCAGAUGAGCCUAGGUCGGAUUAGCUAGUUGGUGGGGUAAAGGCCUACCAAGGCGACGAUCCGUAACUGGUCUGAGAGGAUGAUCAGUCACACUGUAACUGAGACACGGUCCAGACUCCUACGGGAGGCAGCAGUGGGGAAUAUUGGACAAUGGGCGAGAGCCUGAUCCAGCCAUGCCGCGUGUGUGAAGAAGGUCUUCUGAUUGUAAAGCACUUUAAGUUGGGAGGAAGGGCAGUAAGUUAAUACCUUGCUGUUUUGACGUUACCAACAGAAUAAGCACCGGCUAACUUCGUG